UAUGCCCCAAAUUACUAUUUUCUUCCCAAAUAAAGCAUUCUAAUUUCAAAGAUUCAUCUCUAUAUUCUGACUUAACAGCUUUUAACACUUAAUGCUGUUUUUUAGUUGACAAAUAAAAAUUAUAUUUAUAGUAUAAAACAUGUUUUGAAAUAUAUAUACAUUGUGGAAUGGUUAAAUAAAGCUAACAUGUACCCUUCGGCUUUUUAAAAACUAACGUCCAAUUCAUCCAAUUCCGUGAGAGUAAAGCCUUUGCUUAGCUUUCCAGUCCUGUUAAACGGGGGGGAAACAACAAAAGGGUCCUCAGGGCCCUGCCCAACAAUACGCCACAUUCUGUCUAGUAAAGCCACACAGCCAGAAAACGCCAGGUGACUGGCAGGCAGAUACUUCCGGAAGAAGUCGGCCCUCCGAACCCGGAAGUGAAGCGAUAAGACGCACGGUGUUCUGGGAGGAGUUACGCAGGCAGGGUUGUGGUUGCUGGCUGUUACCAGGACAACCGGAGGCGAUUGACCGUUAUCUGCGGUUUGGAGCCGUUAGCGGGAGAGGCAGAGAUAUUCAGAGGUCUUUUAGGAUGCGCUAAAGGGUCGUGAGGGCUCUCUUAAAAUUUUCUUCACAAGCGGUUAUCCAGUCGUGCCCCGCGGCCCUGCUGCUGGCCCCGGGGAUCUGAGUCGUACCCUCUUGUUUUUCUCUGAGUCAGUCUUAAGGUGAAAUGAAGUGUGGCCCAGUGGCUCCUCACUGUCGCUUCUCUAGUUUUCUGCCUCCUUUUAGAAAAUGUGCUAAAGAACAUACAGACACAGAGCAGACAGGCCACCUUUGCAACCACAUGGAGGUUUGUCUGAUAUUGAAGCUAAAGAAGCUAAGCUGGAAGACAGAGAGACCAAGUCCUGAUGACAUUGUUUGAACCCAGAGAUCCAGACAUGCCUGAAAACUAGUUUUACCACUGGACUUAUCCGUUGAAUGAGCCAAUAAACUCUCUUUUAUACUUAACCUUGGGUUUUACCUGGAUUUUUGUCAUUGACAGCUCAAAAUAUUCUAAUAUAGAAGUAUACAUCAUUAAAUCAACAUUUCUUUUUUUCUCUGUCUUAUUUUAAAUGUAACUCUAUAAGGUACUCUAAAAGUAUUCUACAGUCUCACUAAGUUAAUCUGCAAAUUUGGUAAAAU
rnacentral:lncRNA from 1 species